GAUGAAGAACGUAGCGAAAUGCAAUAAGUAAUGUGAAUUGCAGAAUUCAGUGAAUCAUCGAAUCUUUGAACGCACAUUGCGCCCCCUGGUAUUCCGGGGGGCAUGCCUGUCCGAGCGUCAUUACAACCCUCAAGCUCAGCUUGGUGUUGGGCCCCGCCGCCCCGGCGGGCCCUAAAGUCAGUGGCGGUGCCGUCCGGCUCCGAGCGUAGUAAUUCUUCUCGCUCUGGUGGUCCGGUCGUGUGCUCGCCAGCAACCCCCAAUUUUUUUCAGGUUGACCUCGGAUCAGGUAGGGAUACCCGCUGAACUUAAGCAAAUCAAUAAGCGGAGGA
rnacentral:misc_RNA from 1 species